rnacentral:rRNA from 1 species
CCUACGGGGGGCUGCAGUGGGGAAUAUUGGACAAUGGGCGAAAGCCUGAUCCAGCCAUGCCGCGUGUGUGAAGAAGGCCUUCGGGUUGUAAAGCACUUUCAGUGGGGAAGAAAGCCUUGGGGCUAAUACCCUCGAGGAAGGACAUCACCUACAGAAGAAGCACCGGCUAACUCCGUGCCAGCAGCCGCGGUAAUACGGAGGGUGCGAGCGUUAAUCGGAAUUACUGGGCGUAAAGCGCGCGUAGGCGGUCUGAUAAGCCGGUUGUGAAAGCCCCGGGCUCAACCUGGGAACGGCAUCCGGAACUGUCAGGCUAGAGUGCAGGAGAGGAAGGUAGAAUUCCCGGUGUAGCGGUGAAAUGCGUAGAGAUCUGGAGGAAUACCAGUGGCGAAGGCGGCCUUCUGGACUGACACUGACGCUGAGGUGCGAAAGCGUGGGUAGCAAACAGGACUAGAUACCCCUGUAGUC